rnacentral:rRNA from 1 species
CAGUGGCGAACGGGUGAGUAACACGUGGGCAAUCUGCCCUGCACUCUGGGACAAGCCCUGGAAACGGGGUCUAAUACCGGAUAUUACCUUCCUCUGCAUGGGGGUUGGUGGAAAGCUCCGGCGGUGCAGGAUGAGCCCGCGGCCUAUCAGCUUGUUGGUGGGGUAAUGGCCUACCAAGGCGACGACGGGUAGCCGGCCUGAGAGGGCGACCGGCCACACUGGGACUGAGACACGGCCCAGACUCCUACGGGAGGCAGCAGUGGGGAAUAUUGCACAAUGGGCGAAAGCCUGAUGCAGCGACGCCGCGUGAGGGAUGACGGCCUUCGGGUUGUAAACCUCUUUCAGCAGGGAAGAAGCGAAAGUGACGGUACCUGCAGAAGAAGCACCGGCUAACUACGUGCCAGCAGCCGCGGUAAUACGUAGGGUGCGAGCGUUGUCCGGAAUUAUUGGGCGUAAAGAGCUCGUAGGCGGCCUGUUGCGUCGGUUGUGAAAGCCCGGGGCUUAACCCCGGGUCUGCAGUCGAUA